UACAAAAAGUGAUGACGAUGAAGACCUUGCUACAGCCAUAAUCUUGUCCCUCCAGGAAACUGAAACCUCAUCUUGUCAAUCUGCAGAAGUACAGAUAGAGGAGUCCCCCAUUUUGAUACCAAAUAUCAGCAACAUCGACACGCAGUCCACUGCAGAAAUUGAAAAUGAGCUGGAUGCUGCUGCAAUACUGCAAAGUCUUACCAGUCUGGUGGAUGAAGGGACACCUCCUCGG